GGGGAUUACACUCCCUUCUGUAGUAUAGCAGAAAUCCAGAUAGGUAUUAAAAAGAUUACAUAGUUACAUAGCUGAAAAGAGACUUGCGUCCAUCAAGUUCAGCCUUCCUCACGUUUAUUUUUUGCUGUUGAUCCAAAGCAAGGCAAAACCCCCCAGUUUGAAGCACAAUUUUGCAACAAGCUAGGAAAAAAAUUCCUUCUUGACCCCAGAAUGGCAGUCAGAUUUAUCCUUGGAUCAAGCAGUUAUUACCCUACAUUGAAAGAUUAUAUACUUGAAUAUUCUGUUUUUG